CCCGCGCGCAUCUCCAGUACAGCCUUGCCAAAAAUGUUCCCCCUUGUCGUUGGACACGAGUCCGAUCUGAAAUUCCCUGUCGUAUUUAGCAUUAAACUUCAACCUUCCAAUCUCAAUCCCAUCAUCUUCGCCCCCAACCAAGACUUAAAGAAAAGAAAACACCACCCACUCACUAACUCCAUUCUCACCCAAUCCUAAAACCACACCAACAAACCAACUCCUCCUCUCUCACUCACUUCCUCUCCACGCCUCCAAGGUCCCCUAUCCUCUCCCUAUAUAUAUAUAUAUAUAUAUAUAUAUAUAUAUAUAUAUAUAUAUAUAUAUUGGAACACUCUUUGUUGUUGAACUCAGGUUUUUUCAUUCAGAGGCAAAGCGAGAUGGCAAAAGGUGACAACAAUGGAUCGUCAAAACCAACGGUGACUCCGUACGAGGAAGCCCUGGAUGCUUUAUCCUCUUUGAUAACGAAACGCAGUCGUGCUGAUAAGAGCAACAACGGAGAUCGGUUUGAUGUGCUUUUCGAUUAUUUAAAAAUUCUGGAGUUAGAGGAGGCAAUAUCAGAAAUGAAGAUCAUACACGUGGCAGGCACUAAAGGAAAGGGAUCUACGUGCACCUUUGCGGAAUCUAUCCUACGUAAUUGCGGCUUUCGUACUGGACUUUUCACAUCACCUCAUCUCAUUGAUGUCCGAGAAAGAUUUCGUCUGGAUGGUAAGGACAUUUGUGAAGAGAAAUUCUUGGCAUAUUUCUGGUGGUGUUAUGAUAGACUAAAGGAAAAAUCUACAGAAGAUGUACCAAUGCCUACCUAUUUUCGCUUUCUUGCUUUACUUGCCUUCAAGAUAUUUUCAGCGGAACAGGUAGAUGUAGCUAUUUUGGAGGUUGGGUUAGGUGGAAAGUUUGAUGCAACAAAUGUGGUUCAGAAACCUAUUGUCUGUGGUAUAGCUUCCCUUGGGUAUGAUCACAUGGAAAUUCUUGGAAAUACUCUAGCUCAAAUUGCUGGGGAGAAGGCUGGUAUCUUUAAGGAUGGAAUUCCAGCCUUCACUGUGCCUCAACCUGAUGAAGCAAUGAAUGUUCUUGAAGAGAAGGCUUCUGAGUUAAAUGUACACCUUCAAGUGGCGGAGCCAUUGGAUGCCAAAUUGCUGAAUGGUUUAAAACUUAGGCUUGAAGGUGAGCACCAGUAUUUAAAUGCUGGUCUUGCCAUUGCGUUGUCUUUUACUUGGCUUCAAAGGACUGGGCAUCACGAAUUUACCCACUUGGAACAGGCUAGCUCACUUCCCGAGCAGUUUAUUAAGGGGCUAACAACAGCCAGUUUGCAAGGGAGGGCUCAAAUUGUCACUGAUCAAUACAUUAAUACCGAGAGUUAUGGAGAUCUUGUGUUUUAUUUGGAUGGAGCCCAUAGUCCUGAAAGCAUGGAGAUGUGUGCAAGAUGGUUUUCUCUUGCCAUAAAAGAAGAUAGCCAGAAAAGAACCUUUAAUUAUCCCCCACAGAAAAAUUCUGAAUCCACUAUUGAAUUGGUACAGGAGCAUCAUGAUGAGAGAUAUGGAAAGAGUUCCAUGCAGAUAUUGCUGUUCAAUUGCAUGUCAGUGCGAGAUCCUCAGCUGCUUCUUCCUCCUCUCAUGAAAGCAUGUGCGAGUCAUGGUGUCUACUUCAAGAAGGCGCUCUUUGUUUCAAACACAUCCUUGUAUUACAAGGUUGGAUCUCAUGCAUUACCACCAACUGAUUCUCAAGUUAAUUUAUCAUGGCAGUUUUCUCUUCAAAGAGUAUGGGAGAAUCUCAUACAGAGCGAUAAAGAAACUGCGAGGUCAUCUAACACAGCUCCUGUUGACGUUGGGUUUUAUGUGAAUGGCCUUUUGACUUAUCAGGAGGGGAGGUUAAGCAUGCGGUUGCUGUUUGUGAAGAAGUUAAAGAGGAUGCCAAAAUGAGUGGUAGGACUUGUGAAAAUAGUGCAGUCUUCCCUUCUCUCCCAUUAGCUAUUAAAUGGCUUAGGGAAAGCGUCCAACGGAAUCAAUCUGUUCACUACCAGGUCCUUGUAACCGGUUCAUUGCAUCUUGUGGGUGAUGUGUUGAGAUUAGUCAAAAAGUGAGGCACAGGACGAAGCUGAAGGUCCCUAGUUGCAAGAAUUUACGCUUAAAAGUGCUGGUACUGAUGCUGGAUGAACGAGUUAGAUACUACCAUCCCAUCAACUUCUCUAGGAUUAAUUUGAACAGCUCCGUUGAAGAUCAUUGCAGCUUGCUUGGAAUUUGGGGAUACAUCAUGCGUUGUUAUUGAAAGUUUGCAAAUGAAUCAUCAGGAAUUUCGUUGUUAUUGCAGUCGUAGAAACUUCAGAUAUUGCUAGAAAUGAUUACCAGCUACUCUCUAGGAAAAUCAAUGUACUUUUCAUGAGAUUCUGAAAAUCAGACUAGAAUUAUGGGGGAGGGGGGGGGGGGGGGGCAGAGAUAAUUUUACACGUGCUGCUGCUUCUCACUCGCAGCUGAAGAGGAAUGGUUGGGGCUGAUGUUGCACACAUGUUCGUUCAUCAAGUUGCGAGUGUGGACUUGUCAAAAGAUUUACCUCCGUGACACCAAGUCUCCUCAUCUGCAUGAAAUUUGGAACCAGAUCGAACUCGUUCGAACUCAGAUCUGUCAACAGGUUUACCUCCAUGAUCACCCUGCUAGUUUGCAGACAUGUGGUUGAGAAGGUUAUAUCCACAUGAUGAAGAAGAGCAUAUUAUCAGCUUGGAGAAUUUUACAAGGGAUCUGAUAACUCAGUUGGUAUUUAGCUACUACGCACCCUGCCAAGAAAGUGUGUGAUCAUAUUGCAGGUUUAACUUUUUUAUAGGUACAAUUAAUAUUUCUACUCAAAUAUACAUAAUUAUAGCGACAAA